CUUUGUAAUGUCAGGCUCCUACUUUUACACUGUUUUCUGUUUUGUCUUUUCAUCAUGGCCUUCACAAUUGUCAUAUCAAAGUCGUUUCCUAAAAACAUUAAGCCUUAUAAUAUGUGCCACAUUUGUUUGUAAAAUGUACAACUUUUGGAAACUCCAUUCAGGGGGUAGACACCAGACCUCCCCCUGGCUCCUGUGCGCAUGUUUAAUCUCUCUUCAAAUGCCCACACCAUUUCCUGCAAAAAUUGAUUGGCUAUGGCUCAUCACCUCCUCUGGGUGAUCUGCUAUCUUCCUUCUCUUAUGACUCAGGUUAUUGACAGCUGGGAAAAGGCACACACCUCUGACUGAUGGCGACCCAAAAAGAAAUCAUAGAGAAGCAAAUUUGGCUCCACUGGUUUGAUUUUUCCUUCCUUCCUCCUUACACAUCCAAGGAGGUUUUGCUCUGGAAAUCUCUUGCUAUGGAAUGCCUAACAAACCUGAACCAGGAAACCCUUUACCAACAGGAAGUGACCCAGUCUUUGUGCAUGGCAGGUGGCCACGCUGCCACCUGCUCCCUUCCUGUUAGUCAUGACUCCAAGGGUCUUGACAGAGGGCUAGUGACAGGCAACUGGAGAUCUGGAAAGAAAAUCUCUCUUCAAAGCAGGUUUGCUGUGUUGCAAACGCCGGGGGACAUCAGUCACAGAGACCUGAAUGUACACAGCACCCCCUGGAGUUGGCAACGCGGAGGCUCUGGCUGUUGAUCCCAAAGAAGAUUUAAAUUGCAGUCCAUUAUAUUUUUCUCUCAGACUUCUGUUUCUUUGAAUAUUCCAAAUAGAUUAAAAUAUAAUCUGGAAUCCUAAGUGCCUUAGUCUUAUUUAGGUAACAAUACUAUCUAAGAAAAACUCUAGAAGAAUUCACAACAAAUUGCUAACUAUAGUUAUCUCUGGCAGAGGAAGUAGCAUGGGAAAGGCGUGGGAAACUUUUUUACUUUGACUUUUUUUUCAACUGUGUACUUAUGUAUAAUUUGUGUGGAAU
rnacentral:lncRNA from 1 species